AUACAUAUAUUCAAUUUUUUUUAAAAUUAAUGGACGUAUUCGAUACCGAAUUUAUUUCUAAUAUAUAUUCCAGAAAAAACACACAAAUGAUUACUAAUUUAAAAGAGUCUAUCAAAGCAAAUGACUUAGCCCUAAUUAUCGAAUGCUUUUAUUUUAUUAUGAAUUUAAAUAUCGAAAAUAUUAGUUCCUUAUGUAUUUUUACUUUAUCAAAAUAUAUAACAUGGAUUGACAUUAAUUAUGUCGUAAAUGAAAAAAUACUUUCUUAUAUAUAUCAAAGUUUAAAUUCUAAUAAUUCGAUUGCUGAAGCAAGUUACUGUUUUUUAACUGCUCUAGUACGAAAAGGUAUGCAUCAUGUAAAUAAAAUACAAUUCAUCGAAAGUAUUAAUGUUAUAUAUGUAAUACAAAAUACUAUUAAAGUUGUUGAUGUCACUAAUAAAAAUGUAAAAAACAUUUUAUUAAAAAAAGGAGAAUGUAUCAACUAUAUAUGUUUAGAAUUAGUAGAAGCUAUUUUUGAGAUUACUAAAUCGAAGGAUUACAAUUUGAACACACUUAAAUAUAAUGAAAUAUGUGAAAAAGCAAGUAAUUUAUUAUUAUUCAUAUUACCACAUGCUUUAGACAUAUAUGCAAUAGACGAUUUUUAUGUAGCUAGUACUGUAGAAAAGUUUUUUAGUUUAUUUUUUACUAAGUAUAAAACUACUAUUGAUUCCUCUGUUUUGUUGUUAGCAGAUAGUACAACUUCUAUUGGUUCAGUUGCUACGACAGGUACUAAUAAUAGUAAUACCAUCAGUGUAACUAAUACUACUACUAAUACUACUACUACUACUAAUACUACAUCACCCGGUAUAGGGAGCAGCACACAAAAUCUUAACCCUUACACUACUACAGCCAUCACCACAUGCGAUAAUACAUACAAAAUACCAAUGACAAAAUUAAACACAUUUAUAAACACACUUAUGUGUACAACUGUUAAUAAAUUUGAGUUCCCUAGUUACAUUAAUGAAAAUUUUGAUGAAGAAGAUGAAGAUUAUAUUAUGUUUGCUAAUUUUAGGGAAAAUAUAGAAAAAUUAUAUCAGCGUUUAAUUAUAUUUGAUAAACUAAAAUCUAUUCAAAUUGUAAAAAAUAGUAUAAUAUAUAUGAACGAACAUUUUGAUAAUUUGCAAUGGAAUAUUAUAGAAGCUAAGUUAUAUGUAUUUUUGUUGACAACUUCUAUAUAUUGUGAGUAUAAAAAUGGAGUUCCCUCUAACGCUCUUACGGCUACUUCCAUUCCAACCCUUCUGAACAACAGCAAAAGCAAUAGCAAUAGCAAUAGCAAUAGCAAUAGCAAUAGCAAUAGCACUAGCAAUUUAUCUAAUAAUCUAAAAAACAACACCAAUAUCGCUAUGUUAGAAAAUAUAAAACAACCAACGAACACGAGCACAAAUACAAGCACAGGAACGGGAACGGGCACGGGCACAUCAAGCACAAGUAAAAGUAUAAGUAGCACAAAUUAUAAUAACUUAAUUUACGACUGCUUAAUAGAAUUGUUAAAAAAUCGUAAAAUCCUAAACUGUACAAACCAUCUUAUAAAUAUUAACAUAAUGGAAUUGUUUCAAAAGUUACAUUCAUUUUUUAUUGCAAACCCACAAUAUGUUGAAUAUUCGUUACAUAUAUUUAUUACUAAUGGUAUUAGAAGUAAUAAAAAUAAAGUACUAAAAAGGAG
rnacentral:lncRNA from 1 species